GUCUAUAUAGAUUCUUAAUAUAAAGUCUAACCUGCCCACUGAGUUAUUAAAGGGCUGCGGUAAUUUGACCGUGCAAAGGUAGCAUAAUCAGUAGUCUUUUAAUUGAAGGCUUGAAUGAACGGUUCGGAUGAGAGAAAAGCUGUCUCCCCUAUAAAGCGGAAUUUGACUUUUAAGUGAAAAGGCUUAAAUUAUCUAAAGGGACGAUAAGACCCUAUAAAACUUAAUAUAAAUUACAUUUUAUUCUUAAAUUAUAAAUAACCAUCAUAAAGUGUAGUUUAUAUUUUGUUGGGGAGAUAUUGAUAUAAAUUGUAACUGUCUAAUUUAAAAGAAAUAAUUAUUAUUAUAAUAUGAUCCUUCAUUGAGGAUAAAAAGAAUAAGUUACUUUAGGGAUAACAGCGUAAUUUUUUCUGAGAGUUCUUAUCGAAGAAAGUAGUUGCGACCUCGAUGUUGAAUUAAAAUUUCAGCUGGGUGUAGCCGCUUAGCU
rnacentral:rRNA from 1 species